ACUCCUACGGGAGGCAGCAGUAGGGAAUUUUUCACAAUGGACGAAAGUCUGAUGGAGCAAUGCCGCGUGGAUGAUGAAGGUUGGAAACAAUUGUAAAAUCCUUUUAUAUGGGAAGAAUUGUAUAGAUAGGAAAUGAUCUAUAUUUGACGGUACCAUUUGAAUAAGUAACGACUAACUAUGUGCCAGCAGUCGCGGUAAUACAUAGGUUGCAAGCGUUAUCCGGAUUUACUGGGCGUAAAACGAGCGCAGGCGGGUUUUCAAGUCUGGUGUUAAAUGCCGUCGCUUAACGACGGCAUGCAUUGGAAACUGUUAACCUAGAGUUUGGUAGAGAGUUCUGGAACUCCAUGUGGAGCGGUGGAAUGCGUAGAUAUAUGGAAGAACACCAGUUGCGAAGGCGAGAACUUGGGCCACAACUGACGCUUAGGCUCGAAAGUGUGGGGAGCAAAUAGGAUUAGAUACCCUAGUAGUCCACACCGUAUACGAUGGGUGUUAAACGUCGGGAUUUAAUCUCGGUGUUGUAGUUAACACAUUAAACACCCUGCCUGGGUAGUACAUUCGCAAGAA
rnacentral:rRNA from 1 species